AUUCUGCGAUAAUGUUUGGACUUU
rnacentral:piRNA from 1 species